rnacentral:lncRNA from 1 species
GGAAAGGGAGUGCACUUGUCUAACUCUUGCCUGUUAGGGCCAAAGACCUGUUAUAUCACAGCUGUCCCCAGGGAGAUGUUGAAGAUUUUUAUUCUUGAUUCUUAAAUAGAUGGUAAAUAUCAGAGCAAAGAGCAUCUCUUCAGUGAAUGAAUGGGGCAACACUUUGAACAAUUGUCCUGUGAGACAGAGGGCCAGACAAUUCUUCAUCACAUGGCCAGCAAAACUGAAGUUCAUUGUUCUCCCCUGUGCACAGUCUUUGUAUCACAAACUUGUCAUCCUAAUUGCAUAAACAUUAAAAUUUGUCUAGAUUGGUCCAGGGCUGGGAAAAUCAACGAAGGAUUAAAAAUUCAGUGCCUUCACAGGUUGCAGGUGCUGUUGUAUCAUGGCCCAUGUUGGUGCUGUCCUUACCAAGGGCAGCUGCCUUGAGCCAAAGCCAGGGUAACCAGACCUGCCGAGCUCUGUUUUAUUAGCUCAGUUCACUGCUUUAGCAUUUUCUAUUCAUUGUAGGAAUUGUGUACACAUGCAGGUAAAGAGCCCCUCAGGUCCCACUAUCUGGAGAAUGCCUCCAUUAACAUUUCCUCUUCCCUUUCUCCUCUGGGAACAAGAUCUGCUAAAGGUCUGGAAUGAUGCGCAGUGUGAAUUCCUCUUUCUUCCCAGCCCAGCUCCAACCAAGCGCUUUUUCCAAAAAGCCCUGGGGCCUCCUGUGGGCAGGGAGCCUUUGGCCUCCACUCCUGGAUCAGGCUUCAUAGCAUGACUUCAUUACUUUGUUAACCUGUUAGAAACAGAAUGUCAGACACACCCUGUUCAAGUCUUGAGAACAAAGACCCCUUCCAGAGCCAACUGAGAGCAGUCUGUGUGCUUUUCCUUCCACUGGCUCAAGCGCUCAGAGGUGGCUUCAGCCUGAAUGUUGCCUGGUCUUCAGAGUUAAGAACUCUACAUCUAAUUGAGGCUUUAGUGUCUCCUGUGCCCUGCUUGGUGAAGGUGGCAUGGGGACCAUGGCGCACCUGCUGAGCCAGGUCUUCUGUCAGAAAUCACCGAUCCAGAAAGCUUCCUCAAGGACCUGUUGAACUCAAUCCCCUGACCGUCCCCAAGGAACCACAGUUGAUGGAGAUCGAAGCUACCUGGCCUUCCACCCUCUGUACUCCUCUCCUUGUGCAUUGAUUUCCCUUAGGGGAUGCUGCAUUAUUACCGUCUCCCUUCCCUCAGUUUUCUUGGAGUGGCUUGGGGUUUUUAGGCUUCCUGUUUUCUCUUGUGUGUGUGGUGCACUAACUAUGAAGUGUCUGUAGCCCAAGCCAUCGAAGGACCUAUACAUACCCAGGGCCCUUGAGUCGUCCUGGCCAAUCUAAUACUUGAGUGUGCACAUCUUGAAAAAUAAAAAUGAAUGGUAAUACACAUCAGAAA